CAAAGCGUAGCUUAACCUAAAGCAUCUUGCUUACACCAAGAAAAUACCUGUUCGACCCAGGUCGCUCUGA
rnacentral:tRNA from 1 species